GACGAACGCUGGCGGCGUGCCUAACACAUGCAAGUCGAACGGAGUGUUUAUUUAUAAACACUUAGUGGCGAACGGGUGAGUAACGCGUAGACAACCUACCCUCUAGAUGGGGACAACACCGCGAAAGUGGUGCUAAUACCGAAUGUUGUAAUGUUGUUGCAUAAUGAUAUUACUAAAGGUGGCCUCUAUAUAAAAGCUACCGCUAGAAGAUGGGUCUGCGUCUGAUUAGCUAGUUGGUGAGAUAACAGCUCACCAAGGCAAUGAUCAGUAGCCGGUCUGAGAGGAUGAACGGCCACACUGGGACUGAGACACGGCCCAGACUCCUACGGGAGGCAGCAGUGGGGAAUCUUCCGCAAUGGACGAAAGUCUGACGGAGCAACGCCGCGUGAGUGAAGAAGGUUUUCGGAUCGUAAAGCUCUGUCUUCAAGGACGAAUGUAGAUAUUGUGAAUAAUGAUAUUUAAUGACGGUACUUGAGGAGGAAGCCACGG
rnacentral:rRNA from 1 species